UUACGUAUUUCUUCUGAAUGAUAUUCCUCUUGGGUCUUUCCUUGCUCAUUCUGAGAUCCAAAUGCUGAUUGCAAAAGGGGACAAUUGCUUCAUGAAUUUAAAGCCGUCAGAAAUUUGCAAAAAAAUAUCCUGGUGGUUUUUAUUGUUGUUGGUGGUGGUUGAUCUUGUAAUCCGACUUUUCUUCCUCUUCCCCCAAAGCCAGAUUCGCCUUGAAAUAAAUCCGAAUUUGGGAAGGAAAAAAAAAAGAGCCAAAGACGAACGAAGCAAACAAAAAAAAAAUUCACUUUAGUAAAACACUCAUAAUGGAAAAUUUCCCCCGAAACACAUAUACACAAAAAAAAAAGAAAGAAAAAAACCGACGCCCUUCACUCCCCCCCUUUUUCCUCCAAAAACUACAUCAGCGAAACGUGAAGGUCCUUAGUGUCUGAUCUGUAGUUACAUCUUGGAAAAGAAAAGGGAAAGAUAAAUAAAAAAUGUUGGAAGUCACGUUUGUGCUGCAGCAGCAGUGCGAGCAGAAGAGUCAAC
rnacentral:lncRNA from 1 species